AGUGAACGCUGGCGGUAGGCCUAACACAUGCAAGUCGAACGGCAGCACAGUAAGAGCUUGCUCUUACGGGUGGCGAGUGGCGGACGGGUGAGGAAUACAUCGGAAUCUACUUUUUCGUGGGGGUUAACGUAGGGAAACUUACGCUAAUACCGCAUACGACCUACGGGUGAAAGCAGGGGAUCUUCGGACCUUGCGCGAUUGAAUGAGCCGAUGUCGGAUUAGCUAGUUGGCGGGGUAAAGGCCCACCAAGGCGACGAUCCGUAGCUGGUCUGAGAGGAUGAUCAGCCACACUGGAACUGAGACACGGUCCAGACUCCUACGGGAGGCAGCAGUGGGGAAUAUUGGACAAUGGGCGCAAGCCUGAUCCAGCCAUACCGCGUGUAUGAAGAAGGCCUUCGGGUUGUAAAACCCUUUUGUUGGGAAAAAAAAGCAGCAGGUUAAUACCCCGCUGUUCUGACGGUACCCAAAGAAUAAGCACCGGCUAACUUCGUG
rnacentral:rRNA from 1 species